rnacentral:rRNA from 1 species
UACGGAGGGCGCGAGCGUUACCCGGAUUUACUGGGCGUAAAGGGCGUGUAGGCGGUUUGGGGCGUCCCAUGCGAAAGGCCACGGCUCAACCGUGGAGGAGCGUGGGAUACGCUCAAGCUAGAGGGUGGGAGAGGGUGGUGGAAUUCCCGGAGUAGCGGUGAAAUGCGCAGAUACCGGGAGGAACGCCGAUGGCGAAGGCAGCCACCUGGUCCAUUUCUGACGCUGAGGCGCGAAAGCGUGGGGAGCAAACCGGAUUAGAUACCCGGGUAGUCCACGCCCUAAACGAUGCGCGCUAGGUCUUUGGGGUUUACCUGAGGGCCGAAGCCAACGCGUUAAGCGCGCCGCCUGGGGAGUACGGCCGCAAGGCUGAAACUCAAAGGAAUUGACGGGGGCCCGCACAAGCGGUGGAGCAUGUGGUUUAAUUCGUGGCAACGCGAAGAACCUUACCAGGCCUUGACAUGCUAGGGGACCUAGGUGAAAGCCUGGGGUGCCCGCGAGGGAGCCCUAGCACAGGUGCUGCAUGGCCGUCGUCAGCUCGUGUCGUGAGAUGUUGGGUUAAGUCCCGCAACGAGCGCAACCCCUGCUCCUAGUUGCCAGCGGGUUAGGCCGGGCACUCUAGGGGGACUGCCUGCGAAAGCAGGAGGAAGGCGGGGACGACGUCUGGUCAUCAUGGCCCUUACGGCCUGUGCGACACACGUGCUACAAUGCCCACUACAGAGCGAUGCGACCCAGCGAUGGGGAGCGAAUCGCAAAAAGGUGGGCGUAGUUCGGAUUGGGGUCUGCAACCCCGACCCCAUGAAGCCGGAAUCGCUAGUAAUCGCGGAUCAGCCAUGCCGCGGUGAAUACGUUUCCGGGCC